UGGGGAAUAUUGCACAAUGGGCGCAAGCCUGAUGCAGCCAUGCCGCGUGUGUGAAGAAGGCCUUCGGGUUGUAAAGCACUUUCAGCGAGGAGGAAGGUGGUGACUUAAUACGUCAUCAAUUGACGUUACUCGCAGAAGAAGCACCGGCUAACUCCGUGCCAGCAGCCGCGGUAAUACGGAGGGUGCAAGCGUUAAUCGGAAUUACUGGGCGUAAAGCGCACGCAGGCGGUUUGUUAAGUCAGAUGUGAAAUCCCCGGGCUCAACCUGGGAACUGCAUUUGAAACUGGCAAGCUAGAGUCUCGUAGAGGGGGGUAGAAUUCCAGGUGUAGCGGUGAAAUGCGUAGAGAUCUGGAGGAAUACCGGUGGCGAAGGCGGCCCCCCUGGACGAAGACUGACGCUCAGGUGCGAAAGCGUGGGGCAGCAAACAGGAUUAGAUACCCUGGUAGUCCAGCGCUGUAAACGAUGUCGAUUUGGAGGUUGUGCCCUUGAGGCGUGGCUUCCGGAGCUAACG
rnacentral:rRNA from 1 species